rnacentral:rRNA from 1 species
UGAGUACGAGAUGCUACGGCAUCGAAGCAGUCUAUGUCAUACUUCCAAGAAAAGCUCGCAAUGUCAUAAACAAAUAAUGCCUGUACCAUAACCGACACAGGUGGGUAGGUAGAGUAUACUAAGGGGCGCGAGAUAACUCUCUCUAAGGAACUCGGCAAAAUGACUCCGUAACUUCGGGAGAAGGAGUGCCUUAUUUUAUAAGGUUGCAAUAACAAGAUCCAAGCAACUGUUUACCAAAAACACAGGUCUCCGCUAAGUCGUAAGACGAUGUAUGGGGGCUGACGCCUGCCCAGUGCCAGAAGGUUAAAGAAGUUGGUUAGCAUUAGCGAAGCUGAUAACUGAAGCCCUGGUGAACGGCGGCCGUAACCAUAACGGUCCUAAGGUAGCGAAAUUCCUUGUCGGGUAAGUUCCGACCCGCACGAAAGGCGUAAUGAUUUGGAUACUGUCUCAGAGAGGGGCUCGGUGAAAUAGACUUGUCUGUGAAGAUGCGGACUACCUGCACCUGGACAGAAAGGCCCUAUGAAGCUUUACUGUAACUUGAGAUUGAAAUUGGACUUUAUUUGCGCAGUAUAGGUGGGAGACGUUGAAAAUAUUCUUGCGGGAAUAUUGGAGUCAUCAGUGAGAUACCACUCUUAUAAUGUUAGAUUUCUAACUUUGUAUCAUUAUCUGGUCAAAGAACAGUUUCAGGCGGGCAGUUUGACUGGGGCGGUCGCCUCCCAAAGGGUAACGGAGGCGCACAAAGGUUUCCUCUGAACGUGUAGAAAUCGUAUCUAGAGUGUAAAGGCAUAAGGAAGCUUGACUGUGAGACCUACAAGUCGAGCAGGGACGAAAGUCGGUCUUAGUGAUCUGACGGUGCUGAGUGGAAAGGCCGUCACUCAACGGAUAAAAGUUACUCUAAGGAUAACAGGCUGAUCUCCCCCAAGAGUUCACAUCGACGGGGAGGUUUGGCACCUCGAUGUCGGCUCAUCGCAUCCUGGGGCGGUAGUACGUCCCAAGGGUUGGGCUGUUCGCCCAUGAAAGCGGUACGCGAGCUGGGUCCAGAACGUCGUGAGACAGUUCGGUCCAUAUCCGGUGUAGGCGUUAGAAUAUUGAGAGGAGCCUUCUUUAGUACGAAAGGACCGAGAAGGACGUACCUCUGGUGUACCAGUUAUCGUGCCAACGGUAAACGCUGGGUAGCUAUGUAUGGAGAGGAUAACCGCUGAAAGCAUCUAAGUGGGAAGCCCACCUCAAGAUAAG